rnacentral:rRNA from 1 species
CAGUUCGGAUCGGAGUCUGCAACCCGACUCCGUGAAGCUGGAUUCGCUAGUAAUCGCGCAUCAGCCAUGGCGCGGUGAAUACGUUCCCGGGCCUUGUACACACCGCCCGUCAAGCCAUGGAAGCCGGGGGCGCUUGAAGUGCGUUGCCGCAAGGCGCGCCCUAGAGCGAAACCGGUGACUGGGGCUAAGUCGUAACAAGGUACC